rnacentral:rRNA from 1 species
AUUGAACGCUGGCGGCAUGCCUUACACAUGCAAGUCGAACGGCAGCACGGGUGCUUGCACCUGGUGGCGAGUGGCGAACGGGUGAGUAAUACAUCGGAACGUACCUUAUCGUGGGGGAUAACGCAGCGAAAGCUGUGCUAAUACCGCAUACGCCCUGAGGGGGAAAUGGGGGAUCUUCGGACCUCACGUUAAUGGAGCGGCCGAUAUCUGAUUAGCUAGUUGGUGGGUAAAGGCUCACCAAGGCGACGAUCAGUAGCUGGUCUGAGAGGACGACCAGCCACACUGGGACUGAGACACGGCCC